AUUGAACGCUGGCGGCAGGCCUAACACAUGCAAGUCGAGCGGAUGAAGGGAGCUUGCUCCUGGAUUCAGCGGCGGACGGGUGAGUAAUGCCUAGGAAUCUGCCUGGUAGUGGGGGAUAACGUCCGGAAACGGGCGCUAAUACCGCAUACGUCCUGAGGGAGAAAGUGGGGGAUCUUCGGACCUCACGCUAUCAGAUGAGCCUAGGUCGGAUUAGCUAGUUGGUGGGGUAAAGGCCUACCAAGGCGACGAUCCGUAACUGGUCUGAGAGGAUGAGCAGUCAACUUGGACUUGAGCACGGGUCCAGAUCCUUCGGGGAGGAAGAAGUGGGGAAUUUGGGAAAAUGGGCGAAAGCCUGACCAAGCCAUGCGGGGUGUGUGAAGAAGGUCUCCGGAUUGUAAAGCCCUUUAAGUUGGGAGGAAGGGCAGUAAGUUAAUACCUGGCUGUUUGGACGUUACCAACAGAAUAAGCACCGGCUAACUGCGU
rnacentral:rRNA from 1 species